rnacentral:rRNA from 1 species
GGGGGACCUUCGGGCCUCUUGCCAUCGGAUGUGCCCAGAUGGGAUUAGCUUGUUGGUGGGGUAACGGCUCACCAAGGCGACGAUCCCUAGCUGGUCUGAGAGGAUGACCAGCCACACUGGAACUGAGACACGGUCCAGACUCCUACGGGAGGCAGCAGUGGGGAAUAUUGCACAAUGGGCGCAAGCCUGAUGCAGCCAUGCCGCGUGUAUGAAGAAGGCCUUCGGGUUGUAAAGUACUUUCAGCGGGGAGGAAGGGAGUAAAGUUAAUACCUUUGCUCAUUGACGUUACCCGCAGAAGAAGCACCGGCUAACUCCGUGCCAGCAGCCGCGGUAAUACGGAGGGUGCAAGCGUUAAUCGGAAUUACUGGGCGUAAAGCGCACGCAGGCGGUUUGUUAAGUCAGAUGUGAAAUCCCCGGGCUAC